UAUUAAAUUUAAAUUUUUUAAAAUGUAGAUGAUGUCCUUGAACCUCUUAUUCUGCCAUCAAGAAAAAUUGACACUUCUGCAGAUGAAUCUCCAGAAAAUUCUUUAACAUGUUUGUUCUGUGACGAGACAUUUUCAAUACAGUCAGAUCCACAACAUAAUAGGUUUAUUCAUCAUUUAUUUAAAGAACAUAAGUUUGUUAUAGAUAAAGUUAAAUUAAUUGCAGACUUCAAAAGUUACAUUGAAUAUUGGAGAAAAAGGUUUGGAGAAGGCACAAUUGUAGAAUUCUGUCCAGUUAUAAAAACAAA